CGUUCAGCCAUUACUCCGCGAUGGUGACUGCGCGAGGCUUCACGUACAAUCUCUCGCGCGUCGAAACUUGGAUUUAACGAAGCUCACCUUUGCGCUCAGGUGUCAAAGUAAAGGUGUUCAUUGCUCUCCCGCGUGUAUCCCGUCACCGACGUAUCUUCAGUUAGUGACCUGUGAUUUAGUAAAGUAUCAGUACAUUAGUUUUUGGGGGCUGUGUUUGUGUUCAGAUGACGGCGCAGGUAGACUACCUGGUGGUGGUUUUCACCGCCACAUCUGGCGCGAGCGGAGAGCUGCUGGGAUCUGACGAGAAGGAGCUCGUGCAGUUGGUUUGGCAGCUGGUGGAUGUGAAGAACAAAAAGUUGGGCAAGGUGAAUGAGCUCCUUAUUAAGCCUGACCUCUCAGAGUCACGGGAGAAAGAGGAGGAGGAGGAGGAGGAGGAGGAUGUUGUGGAAGAGAGCGUGGAAGAGGAGCAUGGAUCCAGAGCCGACAGUGUCUUUACAGCCUCAAGUCUUGAGUCAGCAUUGAACCAGUUUCAUCUACAACUGACAAAUGAGGUGAACAGCGCGGGCACAGGCACGUCGGUGUGUUUGUGUACAGACGGGCAGCUUCACAUCCGUCAAGUGAUUCACCCUGAGGCUGCCAGCAAGUACAUCCUGGUCCCCGACUGUUUCUUCUCUUUCUUUGACCUUCGUAAAGAGUUCAAGGAGCACUUCCCCACAUCUGACCUCAAGGCUCUGAAUAUACACGAUAUGGCAGAAGCUCUUAGUAUACCUGUGGAUGUUCCUGCUAUGUUGGACCCCUCAGCCACACCGGACCCCUCAGCCACACCGGACCCCUCAGCCACAAUGGAAACCUUAGCAACACCAGACCCCUCAUCAUCACCGGACCCCUCAGCCGUAUUACCUGCAGAGGUAGCAGUACAGCAGGUCCAGACCAUGACCAGCAUUGUCCUUGCGCUGCUUUCUGAGCCAAAUUGCCACACAUUUUCUUGCCAGGAGAGAGUCAGUGAGAAGUUUGAGACAGGCACUUGCAGUAAGAUGGAGAAAGUGUGCGACAACACAGUGAUCAGAGCCAGAGGGUUGCCAUGGCAGUCCUCUGACCAGGACAUUGCUCGCUUCUUCAGGGGACUUAACAUUGCCAAAGGAGGGGCUGCAUUGUGUCUAAAUGCUCAGGGGAGGAGGAACGGAGAAGCUCUUGUUCGUUUCGUCAGUGAGGAACACAGAGAUCUGGCGCUGAAGAGACACAAACACCAUAUGGGCAGCAGAUAUAUAGAGGUUUAUAAAGCAACAGGGGAGGACUUCCUGAAGAUAGCAGGAGGUACCUCCAAUGAGGUAGCCAUGUUCUUGUCGCGUGAGGACCAGAUCAUAGUGAGGAUGCGAGGGCUUCCUUUCACAGCCACACACGAGCAGGUGCUCAACUUUUUCUCCCCGGAGGAGGGGAUUAAAGAGACUUGUCCAGUCAGUGGAGAGAAAGACGGCAUCCUAUUUGUGCGCUAUCCUGAUGGGCGUCCCACUGGCGACGCCUUUGUUUUAUUUGCCUGUGAGGAGCACGCCCAGUGUGCUCUGAGGAAACACAAAGAAAUCCUGGGGAGGAGAUAUAUUGAGCUGUUUAAAAGCACAGCAGCAGAGGUCCAACAGGUAUUGAACAGGUACUCAUCAGCCCCUCUGAUCCCUGUGGCCCCUGCCCCCCUGGUGUCCAUGCUGCCCUCAGUCCCUCUUCUGCCCCCUCCUGGUGGUUUAAGGGACUGUUUGAGGCUGAGGGGGCUGCCAUACACAGCGAGCAUAGAGGACAUCCUCACCUUCCUGGGCGAGUUUACACAUGAUAUCAGACCACAUGGUGUGCACAUGGUCCUUAACCAGCAGGGUCGCCCAUCAGGUGACUGCUUCAUCCAAAUGACCUCAGCAGAGCGAGCACUUCAGGCCUCACAGCGGCUCCACAAGCAUGUGAUGUCCAGCCAACGCGGGGCCAACAGCCGCUAUGUGGAGGUGUUCCCCUGCAGUGCUGAGGAGAUGGGCCUGGUGCUGAUGGGAGGCUCACUCUCACACACACAUACACUCACACACACCAGGAGUAGGAGUGGGACAGGGCUCAGCCCGCCGCCAUGUAAGUCCAGACGUUUAUCUCCGCCCUCCUACUCCUUCGCCCCUGCUCAUCCUGUCCUGACCACAGAGGCUGCUGCUGCACUCUAUCCUCCCAUGGGUCAGAUGCUGCUGACCCCGCGCCCUAUGCAUACAGGACAUGCCUACUACCCCGCUUCAGCUCAGUUAUACAUGAACUACACAGCCUACUAUCCCAGCCCACCUGGCUCACCUACCACCUUAGGUUUCUACCCCUCCCCCUCCUCCCUCUCCACCCCAGGGGGGUUGGUGCGCAUGCCAGGUCUGACCUACAGCAGCUCCGGAGUCAAGGACCUCAUUAGCACAAUGCAGGGUUACCAGUAUGCCCCCGAGGAUGCUCUCAUGCACGCUCACGGGCCUGUGCAUGCUCACGACCCGACCGGGACAUUGCUUACGCAUCCCAAAGAAUGGGUGUGUAUUUAAGGUGUCUGAGGCAGGUGGCAGGUAAGGAUUGGCUGAGGGCUCUGUGAGGGGGAUUUAGUUUGGAGCGGGGCUAUAGCACUGGUUUUGGGUCUUUGAUCAUCCCACUGGGGAAUAUGGGCCAAUGCAAGGCAUUUCCUAUUCACACACACAAACUACAAGAAUGGGCACAUUUGAUGAUUGGGUUAUUUCUUUUAUUUUAAUUAUGGCUGGAUUUACUGAAUGAUUUAAGAUAUGGUGUUCUUUUCUUUCACAGACAGAAUAAGACCCAUUUAUGGACACACACUUUAACAACUACUGACUACAACAUUUCUGUGCUAUCAAUAUGUUAUUUAGACAUAAAAAAAACAGGGCUUGUAGAGAAUUUGCUUUAGCCGGCCUUUAAAAAGCGAUUGUCUAAUGAAAGCUAAGCAACUGAAAUAAGGUACAGCAGGCCUGUCAAGCUUUGUAUUUCUUCAAAUUCCAAAACAUUGUGAAUUGCUCUCUUAGAUUAGCUGUAAUCUGUAUCUAAGGAGUGUGGACAUUGGUGAAUUUUUUCUUGUCAUGGUAAAUGGCACUAUGUGCUGUGUAAGAACAAAAAGCUUGACAGGCAUAGCACCAGUAGCUAUUGGGCUGGAGGGCUAAGCUAACAGUCAGUUGCUGUUGUGGUAGUAAUAAUAGAUGGGUAAUAACAGGUAAAUCCUUCAGGUGGUUGAGAAGGUGAUGGGUAACUCUGGUGCUGGUAUUAGGGCUCUGUGUUUCAUGCUUUUACACCAGGAUAAUACUCAUCUGUCUCUUUUUUCUCUCCUUUCCCCAACCCCCACCCACCCACUCCAGAGUCCUGCGGAGUCCAUUUCUCUCCUGAACAGCAGUCUGAUCGGUCAGUCCAGCAGAGGUGAUGCUCCUCUCAUGUCCCUCCCCGCUCUCAUGACCAAGCCGUCCGGGCAGUACCUGGACCUGACCCUGCUGUAGAGAUGCAAAUACAUAAAGGUCAUGUGACAAUUUGGUAAACAUCAGUGACUUUUAAUGUUUUUUAGGCUUUUGAAAAGUAGUCUUUUAGAUGUGAUAUUUAUAUCUUUAAGAACAGAAAUUAAUCUAUUUUAUACCAAAAUCAUUGUGGCCUUAUAGCCAAACAUAGCUGUUUUGUCUUAUAUUGCACAGUCUGUAUUUUAAAAGCUUUAUAGAGAUUUUUUAAACAUGUUAUGAUAUUGUGAUUAAUAUGAUAUAUUUGCUAGCCAAACUAGAGAAGAAUGACUUAGAAUCUGAGCGCAAACCUUUCCUUAAGCUUCUUUUCUUAAGUCUGUGAAGAGAGAAUGUGUGUGUGAGUGUGUUUUAGUGUGAAAGAGAUAAAAGUGAGUAUUAUGCAUAGCUGUGUCGAUGCUUCUUUAUACUUAAAUCUGUUAAUGCAAAACACUGUGUUUAUAUACAUUUGAUACAGUAUACAGUGAUUGUAUUGGAAGCUUUAGUGCAUGAUGAAGUAAGUAGUUAAACUUUAAGAUGUUUACAGUAUGCCAAAUAUCAAUGCACUGUUAAUAAACAAGACUACUAAUGUAUAUCAUAGCAGUAUCUUUGUUACACUGUGAGUUUGUCAGUAGUCUAAUUCUUGCAUCAGGUUUCACUUACAAAAAUGUGACAUCUCACACCUACCCCUACUUUCCCUCCUUUAUAUGUCAUGUGUACAUGUUGUGUAAUGCCAGUGUUGUCUUGCCUUUUGUUUUCGACCAACAUCUGAACAGAGGACCGUCCCGGCCCUUUGUAACCUGACCAGAGUUACCAUCAUUAAGAGGACUCGUGUCACAAGCUCAAAGUUAACUGAGUGAAUCUGAGCAGCCAAAGGGGGUUUCUAAAAGAUUUUAUUACACAUUUUGCUCCACAGAGUCUUACAUGUCCAUCACACUUCUCUUGCCUUCUCUCUACCAUCUAUGCUGGAUUAAUGCAGCGAGGUAAACAUGCUCCCUGUAGAAAUCCCUUUGUCAUUUGAUGAUAUAAAUUAAAUCAUCUUGAGAUUAGAGGGACAGUUGAAAAGGAAAGGUAAUGAAGCCACCUCUGACAUACAUCUUGUGAAUUGUUGUUUGUGCCCUCCAAAGUUGCUGUAAACAUGUCAUACUGUAGGACUUCCUGCUGCUCAGGACAUCCUGCUAUGGCCAUGCUGAAAAAAAAACAAAAAAACAAGAACAAUAAACAUAACGUGAAGUCUGCCAUCCUUCACCUGUUUGAUUUCA